UACAGAGGUGGCAAGCGUUGUUCGGAAUUACUGGGCGUAACGGGCGCGUAGGUGGCCUUCUUAGUCAGACGUGAAAUCCCCAGGCUUAACCUGGGGACUGCAUUUGAUACUGAUUGGCUUGAAUGCAGGAGAGGAUAGCGGAAUUCCCAGUGUAGAGGUGAAAUUCGUAGAUAUUGGGAAGAACACCGGUGGCGAAGGCGGCUAUCUGGACUGUGAUUGACGCUGAGGCGCGAAAGCGUGGGGAGCAAACAGG
rnacentral:rRNA from 1 species